GACCGAUAGUGAACCAGUACCGUGAGGGAAAGGCGAAAAGAACCCCGGCGAGGGGAGUGAAAAAGAACCUGAAACCGUGUACGUACAAGCAGUGGGAGCACAGGUUUACCUGUGUGACUGCGUACCUUUUGUAUAAUGGGUCAGCGACUUAUAUUCUGUAGCAAGGUUAACCGAAUAGGGGAGCCGGAGGGAAACCGAGUCUUAAUUGGGCGUUAAGUUGCAGGGUAUAGACCCGAAACCCGGUGAUCUAGCCAUGGGCAGGUUGAAGGUUGGGUAACACUAACUGGAGGACCGAACCGACUAAUGUUGAAAAAUUAGCGGAUGACCUGUGGCUGGGGGUGAAAGGCCAAUCAAACCGGGAGAUAGCUGGUUCUCCCCGAAAGCUAUUUAGGUAGCGCCUCGUGAAUUCAUCUCCGGGGGUAGAGCACUGUUUCGGCUAGGGGGCCAUCCCGGCUUACCAACCCGAUGCAAACUGCGAAUACCGGAGAAUGUUAUCACGGGAGACACACGGCGGGUGCUAACGUCCGUCGUGAAGAGGGAAACAACCCAGACCGCCAGCUAAGGUCCCAAAGUCAUGGUUAAGUGGGAAACGAUGUGGGAAGGCCCAGACAGCCAGGAUGUUGGCUUAGAAGCAGCCAUCAUUUAAAGAAAGCGUAAUAGCUCACUGGUCGAGUCGGCCUGCGCGGAAGAUGUAACGGGGCUAAACCAUGCACCGAAGCUGCGGCAGCGAACGUAUCACUUAAAGCGAUUCAGCGGGUUACGAUUGACGGAGCGAAGCGACGUCAAAGCGUAUACAAAGUCGAGUCGGUUUAAGGAUACGUUCGU
rnacentral:rRNA from 1 species